rnacentral:lncRNA from 1 species
AUACAAAACAAAACAUGAGGGCCACUUCUUUCACUAUGCUAUUGGACUUAUCAGAAUGCGGGACAAUCAUGCACUCAGACUUGUGGAUCCACGGGAUCCUUAUAGACUUCCAAGGGUAGGUCAACCUGCGGUUCCUCACUUUCUUCCUCAUUUGGGAGGGGGCAUGGAAAGAGUGAGUUCCAUAUGCUCAGUAAGGAAAACAGUAUUAAAUUAACAUCGUAAGAUUUCAAAAGUUAAUUAUUCUAUCUUACUAUUUAACUUCCUCGUUUACCUAUCUCAUAUAAUGGAAAACCAUUUAUUUGUUAAGAAAACGAUAUGUUAAUAUAGAAAAUCAAACAUACAUCAUGCCAGAUAGUAGAGAAAAUCA